rnacentral:lncRNA from 1 species
CCUGAUUUUGCCCUGACUCAGAAAAUAUAGAAAAACUGCCUGUGAAUUUGAGGCCUGUGGGAUUAGAACUUGAGAUGGGAGCUGGUUAAGAGGACGCCUCUCCUGCCCUCAGUUGCCCUCGGGCCAGAUCUGUCACCCCUUCCCCGUGCACCGAGUCUUCCUGCUGGUCUCUUUGGGUGAGCUGACUCUUCCAGCUAGGGAUCUUCUGAGGAGUCUUUAGAUGUCUUUAGAAGUCAGCGCUGCUCUUGGAGGAAGGCUGGACCCUGCAGAGCUGGGCGUCUUUGUUACCCAUGCAGGCUGGAGCCAAGCACGCGCCUGCUUAUUGGGGAUGCUGAAAAACCAGCAAUGCCUCCCUGUGCCUUCCCUAUCAAAAGAAAAUGGUUCUGCUUCAAUCACACCAAAUUGCAGUGAAAGGAAAACUCUUGGAAAGAGAAAAGUAGAACAUGAAAAAACAAAUACGUUCAGCUUGGAUUGGCUCAAAAUGCCAGUGUGUUUUCAGCCAGAGAAGGGAAUGCAGACACGAACAGUUCCAGAGAGGCUGAAAGCCACAUCUAUAACACGGAAAUGUUUAAAAAGAGGUAUUUGAACUGUCAUUUGUAUAUGUAUGUAAAGUGAUUAGUUAGGUUUAUGGAAGCAAUUUUAAAACCAAAACCUUAUUUCCAAUGUGGACRCUGUUCCUAUGCUCGAAGUCGAAUGAAAACAAUAAUAAUUUCACUUCUCCCCAAGUACCUAUUUGCAGCAGUGUAUUUUCAAGCCGGGGCUGCGCGGAGGUGCGCUGGCCAGCAGAGAGCAGCGCGGGCUCGCCGCUUUCCCGGCUCCGCUCCCGCAUGGAGGGCGAAGGCCGGCCGUGGGUCUGUCCCGGCCGUGGGUCCGGCCCCGGCCGCGCUCGCCACAUCGUCCGCGGAGCAGCCUUAAAGCUGAGUCAUUUGGCGCUUGCUCCUGCCUGAUCGAUGGCUGCCGAACGGCGCCCGAGCUUCGAAUCGGACCUGCCCUAUCGAAAGGUCUUUUUUCGUGUUCCAGAUGUUUGCAGAAGAUAGCUGGUGCUCUCGUGCGACACCCACGCAACUCUGAGCCGAGCGUUGCGGUAACAACGUGGCCGCUCCGUUAGAACCGCUCURACCUCUGCAAGCUGGAGCUGGCGAAAGGUUAUCUUGUCCGACCGGCUGUCCCCRGGAAAUGAACCUUUCCGCCCCUACAACUUGGCUUUCUGACAGGUUUUGUCUCCUACACUCUCCCAAUCCCAGAAGCUCAGCUGAGCCUCAUCCCGUAACUGGCUGUGAACCAAACCAAAC